UCUUCACUGUUUCUACAGGCAAUUCAUUUCAUCAGGUGCUCCAGUGGUUGCUUGGAAUUUCACAAUGGUCAACAUCACAUGUUUGCCAUUGCUGAAAGCAGGUUGCAUACCCAGCUACUACCUUCCCCAUUCCCCUAUUGAUCAAGGCAGCACCCACGACAGUCAUAUCACUGACAACAGUCGAUUCCAAACCAAGAUUGAAGAUGGCAAUACCACUGGUGUAUCACACGGUGGUGCUGGUGAUAUCCCACUCGUCAAACAGUUGUUUUACCCUCUCUGCAGUCGCCUCCACAUCCUGCCUUCAAUUUUCAACUUCUCAAUCCCGUAUCCCCUUGGCGAACGUCCCGAGGCGCUCGUUGGCCGCGAUUCCUCAAAUCCAGAGUUGUUCCAGCCAAAAGAUAGACAAAAGGAAUGUACGCGGGAGACCAAGGUGAUGUAUAAAGCUGGAAUUUCGUGUGCUGAUGGACAUCGAAGCCGAUACACUGGGAAAAAUCACAGAGCCAUCGGAAAGCAUCCGUAAAUGAAAAUAUCUGAAAAUAAGUGCAGCCCUGUGCUCACUGCAGGGAACCAUAAAAAGAACAUUCAAAUCAACCACCACAGAAAACAUCUCGGGUUCAUAGUCUCACUGUGAAUCUGCGGUGAAUGAAGGAUACCAAGCGAGGGGUUUUCAAAUUGUCUGAUGACAUGCUUCCAAAAGCCUAAUUUCAUGUAAGUGAAGCGUAAAACUCGCCUUUACAUAUAUACUGCA
rnacentral:lncRNA from 1 species